AGAGUUUGAUCCUGGCUCAGGACAAACGUUGGCGGUGUGCUUUAUGCAUGCAAGUCGUACGGGAUUAUAGUUUUCGGAUUAUAAUCUAGUGGCAAAUGGCUGAGUAAUACAUAGGUAACCUGCCUGUGAGUGGUGGAUAACUUGCUGAAAGGCAAGCUAGUACAGCAUACGGUGAACAGGGAUUUCUUGUUCAUUAAAGCCUUCGGGUGCUUGCAGAGGGGCCUAUGCCUGAUUAGCUAGUUGGUGAGGUAACGGCUCACCAAGGCGAUGAUCAGUAGCUGGUCUGAGAGGAUGGUCAGCCAGAUGGGGACUGAGAUACGGCCCCAACUCCUACGGGAGGCAGC
rnacentral:rRNA from 1 species